rnacentral:rRNA from 1 species
AUGAACGCUGGCGGCGUGCCUAAUCCAUGCCAGUCGAGCGAACAGACGAGGAGCUUGCUCCUCUGACGUUAGCGGCGGACGGGUGAGUAACACGUGGAUAACCUACCUAUAAGACUGGGAUAACUUCGGGAAACCGGAGCUAAUACCGGAUAAUAUAUUGAACCGCAUGGUUCAAUAGUGAAAGACGGUUUUGCUGUCACUUAUAGAUGGAUCCGCGCCGCAUUAGCUAGUUGGUAAGGUAACGGCUUACCAAGGCAACGAUGCGUAGCCGACCUGAGAGGGUGAUCGGCCACACUGGAACUGAGACACGGUCCAGACUCCUACGGGAGGCAGCAGUAGGGAAUCUUCCGCAAUGGGCGAAAGCCUGACGGAGCAACGCCGCAUGAGUGAUGAAGGUCUUCGGAUCGUAAAACUCUGUUAUUAGGGAAGAACAAAUGUGUAAGUAACUAUGCACGUCUUGACGGUACCUAAUCAGAAAGCCACGGCUAACUACGUG